UACGUAGGGAGCAAGCGUUGUCCGGAAUCAUUGGGCGUAAAGAGCGCGUAGGUGGCUGUAUAAGUCCGUUGUGAAAGUCAAAGGCUCAACCUUUGAAAGCCGAUGGAUACUGUAGAGCUAGAGUACGGAAGAGGCGAGUGGAAUUCCUGGUGUAGCGGUGGAAUGCGCAGAUAUCAGGAGGAACACCAAUAGCGAAGGCAGCUCGCUGGGACGUUACUGACACUGAGGCGCGAAAGCGUGGGGGAGCGAACAGG
rnacentral:rRNA from 1 species